UUGGCACAGUUGGGUUCGGCGCGGGUAGGAGCGGCUCGGCUCGGUUCGGCACCGCGCGGGGCUCAGCUCAGCUCAGCUCGGCACGGGUCAUUUCGGUUCAGUGCGCUCCAGCUCGCUCCAGCACGGUUCGGUUCGGUUCUGCUCCAGUUCGGUUCAGUUCGGUUCAGUUCGGUUCCGUUUGGUUCCGUUCAAGUUGGCUCGGUUCAGCUCAGCGUGGCACGGUUCGGUUCGGUUGGGUUCAGCCCAGCUCAGUGCCCGCGGCACCGGUGCCACUGUGCCCACCCCGGGGCUCGGUUCCCAGGCCGAGCACCCUAGAGGAAGAUGCCACCGGGCACAGCCCCACAGCUCCAUGGCCGGGCUGGGGGUCUCCAUCCCCUCCCACAGGCACACAGGCGUGCAGUGCUACCAGAGCCACCCCAUGGGACCGGACCCCAAGCAGGCUUUAAUAUUCCACCAGCCCUCUGUGCUCAGUGACCCUGCGACGGAGCAUCGCUGCUCCAUCUGCCAGGCUCUGCUCCCAAAAGCUUUGCUGUCGGAUGGAAGAUGCCUGCGCCGUCCUUCGCCGUAGAACCACGUGGUAUGGAUGCAACCCCCUUGGUCCCAUCGGAAAAAACAGAUUUCAUCAGCUACAGGAGGCUUGGCGGGAGGGCAGUGGCCAACAAACAGGCUGGGGUGGUUUUUCUGGGGUGUGGUGGUGGUGGUGGGACCCGGUUGGGUUUGCAGCCUGGCUCUUCCCGGCCGGGGAAUGUGGGGAAUGCUGGCCAGGUAGAGGAGGAGGGAUGUGCCCAACGCAUCUCCCAUCUUGGGAUGUGGUUUGUGGGGUCCUUAGGGUCCUUCCCAGCAGCAAACUUCAAAGCAGCAUGCGUAGGAACCUCAAUUUCACUAGGCUUGGAAGCACCUCACUAAAGAAAGUUAUUUUUCCAAGGGCAGAAUAGUAAUUUUUGACCAGUUCUCUCUCAUUUGGCUGGAUCAGAGAUGGCUCUCUACAAGAAAUAUGGCACUACUUGAGGUCUUCAGCUGCUUUCAGCACCCCAGGUUGCUUGGAGGCUCUCCUGCUUGGAUGCCAAGUAAUGUCCAAAGUGCAUGCAGGUCUGAAUCUGUGGGAGAAGGGGUCACCCAACCAUCCGUAAGGUCCCUCCUUCUGUAAUUUGAUGAUUUACCCACAAAGCA